rnacentral:rRNA from 1 species
UACAGAGGGUGCGAGCGUUGUUCGGAAUUACUGGGCGUAAAGCGUGCGCAGGCGGUUUGCUAAGACCGAUGUGAAAUCCCCGGGCUUAACCUGGGAACUGCAUUGGUGACUGGCAGGCUAGAGUAUGGCAGAGGGGGGUAGAAUUCCACGUGUAGCAGUGAAAUGCGUAGAGAUGUGGAGGAAUACCGAUGGCGAAGGCAGCCCCCUGGGCCAAUACUGACGCUCAUGCACGAAAGCGUGGGGAGCAAACAGG